UACGUAGGGGGCUAGCGUUGUCCGGAAUCAUUGGGCGUAAAGAGCGUGUAGGCGGCCCGGUAAGUCUGCUGUGAAAGUCGGAGGCUCAACCUUCGAAAGCCGGUGGAUACUGCGUGACUAGAGUACGGAAGAGGAGAGUGGAAUUCCUGGUGUAGCGGUGAAAUGCGCAGAUAUCAGGAGGAACACCAACGGCGAAGGCAGCUCUCUGGGACGUUACUGACGCUGAGACGCGAAAGCGUGGGGAGCAAACAGG
rnacentral:rRNA from 1 species